GGAGAAUGCUACUGGCAUCUAGUGGGCAGAGGCCAGGGAUACUGCUGAACAUCCCGCAGUGCACAGGACGCCCGCAACACAGAUUAUCCAGCCCCAAACGUCAAUAGUGCCAGGGUUAUGGAACCCUAAUGAAGACAGUUCUUGAAGGCAUAGACUGAAUCUUAUUUAUCUUUAUUUCCCUCAUGUCUCACAAGCAGAGUAUGAGUUCAGCAAAUAGGAAUUGAACAGAAAUCAGGAGGAGGUUUCAGUCAGCAGAGAUUGAACUACUGUACUCUAGCCUGGAUGACAGAGUAAGACUUAGUCUUAAAAAAAAAAAAAAAAAAAAAAAAAAGAAGGAUAAUCAAGACAAUGAGCUAAUGAGCUAACACAGAAGCCAUAGUGGACUUUCUUCAAUAUUUUAAGAAAGGUGAAAAAUAGCAGGAAUUUAAC
rnacentral:lncRNA from 1 species